UUCAAAGACUCGAUUCGGUUUUCCGAAAGUGAAAGUGUUUCUCAGCCUCGACUCCAUUUUGAGGAGAAAAACACAAAGAUGUUGAACAGCAGUCAGAAGCGGUGAGAUUCAUGUCCAACAACAAGCAGUGGUGAAGAAAAGUGGGAAUGUGAUUGAUUCCAGCAGAAGAGAUUGACGUCUUCAGGACUCUGCGUGUACACAAGCAUUAAAAAAUGGAGAUCCCUGAUCAGGGGACAGAUCAUGUGACCUCACUCUUAAAAGACUGUAAACUACAGAGAGAGAAAUCACACUCACCAGUGCCCAGCUGUGUCUCCAUGAAGAGUGAUAAGUCUAUAGAUCUUCCUUUGGGAUUUAGCACUGGAAUCUCCUCACCUGGACACAGGUAACAUCCCAUAAUUCUCCUAGUUAAAGUCACAGUUAAUGGCUGCACUACACCGUCAUUAGCAGCUGUUUAG